rfam:Bacteriophage KVP40, complete genome.
GGGCCGUUAGCUUAAUUGGGAAAGCGCCUCACUUGCAAUGAGGAAGAUAGGGUUCGACUCCCUGCGUGUCCA